AUGAACGCUAGCGGCAGGCUUAACACAUGCAAGUCGAGGGGUAUAAUUCUUCGGAAGCAGAGACCGGCGCACGGGUGCGUAACGCGUAUGCAAUCUACCUUUUACAGAGGGAUAGCCCAGAGAAAUUUGGAUUAAUACCUCAUAGUAUUAUGAAAUGGCAUCAUUUUAUAAUUAAAGUCACAACGGUAAAAGAUGAGCAUGCGUCCCAUUAGCUAGUUGGUAAGGUAACGGCUUACCAAGGCUACGAUGGGUAGGGG
rnacentral:rRNA from 4 species